UACGGAGGGAGCUAGCGUUGUUCGGAAUUACUGGGCGUAAAGCGCACGUAGGCGGCUAUUCAAGUCGGGGGUGGAAGCCCGGGGCUCAACCCCGGAACAGCCCUCGAAACUAGAUAGCUAGAAUCUUGGAGAGGCGAGUGGAAUUCCGAGUGUAGAGGUGAAAUUCGUAGAUAUUCGGAAGAACACCAGUGGCGAAGGCGACUCGCUGGACAAGUAUUGACGCUGAGGUGCGAAAGCGUGGGGAGCAAACAGG
rnacentral:rRNA from 1 species